CCAGUAGAUGGCGAUAACGCACCUUUUGAGUUGGUUGGCCAGCCACCAUUAAUUCCAAGAAGAAGACGAAAGGCAUCCCGAUAAUGACACGAAGCUAAUAGUGUCCAAUGAUGAGUGCUCAACUGAAAGAUGUCAUUAUCAAACCUGACGCUCCCAGCUCUCUGCUGCUGGACAAACAUGCAGACUACAUCGCAGCCUACGGCUCCAAGAAGGAUGACUAUGAGUACACGCUGUCAGAGUACCUGAGGAUGAGCGGCGUCUACUGGGGGCUGACGGUGAUGGACCUGAUGGACCAGCUGCAGCGGAUGAACCGCCAGGAGAUCAUCGAUUUCAUCAAAGCCUGUCAGCACGAGUGUGGAGGCAUCAGCGCCAGCAUCGGACACGACCCUCACCUGCUCUACACCCUCAGCGCCGUCCAGAUUUUGUGCCUGUAUGACAGUUUGGACGCCAUCGAUGUGGACAAAGUGGUGGAAUACGUUAAGGGGCUUCAGCAGGAGGACGGCUCGUUUGCAGGAGACAAAUGGGGAGAAAUCGACACACGGUUUUCUUUCUGUGCUGUUGCUACGCUGGCAUUGCUGGGAAAGAUGGACACCAUAAACGUUGACAAAGCUGUGGAGUUCGUCUUGUCUUGCAUGAAUUUCGACGGAGGUUUCGGCUGCAGGCCGGGCUCAGAGUCUCACGCUGGCCAGAUUUACUGCUGCACCGGUUUCCUGUCGCUCACCGGUCAGCUGCACCAGCUCAACGCCGACCUACUGGGCUGGUGGCUCUGCGAGAGGCAGCUGCCGUCCGGAGGCCUCAACGGGCGACCCGAGAAGCUUCCAGAUGUUUGCUACUCCUGGUGGGUCCUGGCGUCUCUGAAAAUCAUCGGCAGGAUUCACUGGAUCGACAAAGCCAAGCUGCAGCGCUUCAUUCUGGCCUGCCAGGACGAGGAGACGGGAGGAUUCGCUGACCGACCGGGAGACAUGGUGGAUCCGUUCCACACUCUGUUCGGUGUGGCGGGCCUCUCGCUUCUCGGCGACGAGGCGAUCAAGCCGGUGAAUCCCGUCCUGUGUAUGCCUGAGGACGUCCUGCAGAGGGUCGGCCUGCAGCCCGACCUCCUCAGCUAGCGCCCCUUAGCUAACACAUCAUCAUCAUCAUCAUCAUGACGAACUAAAACGCUGCUCCGCUCCUCACACCGGCCCCCAGUCUGAGUUAUAACCACUACAGCUGCACCCUGGAUGCAGUUAGAGGAUCGCUCCUCUGCUUUUCAUCAAUCUGUGUUUGGAAGAACCAUCAGAAAAUGACAUUCCUUCGUUUCUCAAGUUGUUUUUAGGAGAAAAACCUGGAAAUUUUACACUUUUCCUCACCUACAACCACAAACUUCACUGUAGUUUAUUGGGAUUUUUGUGAUGGAUCCACUGGAAGUACUCCAUAGUUGUGAAGUAGAAGGAAAAUGUUACAUUUUUACAAAUAAACAAAUUAAAAAUAUACAAAGUUGAUGUAUUCAUCUUUUUGUCAGCCUGGAGGUUAUUUAUGGAUGCACUAAAUGAUGCUAUUUUUAGGUUUUUAUUUGUGAAAAAUAUUUUAAAGUUUCACAAUUAUAUCUUACUUUGUAUCACAAAACACACAAAAUCUCAAUAAAAUGCUUUGUAGUUUUUGGCUGAAAUGUAAAAAUAUGGUGAACAUAUUUUGAGGGGCUUCUGAUUGGCUGCAACGAUUAUUUUAGUUAUCGAUUAAUCGAUUGUUCUGGUGAUUAAUCGGAUAUUAAAACUGCCACAUUCUGCAGAAUUUUUAUUUAAGUGUUUUAUAAUGCUUAUAAUUGUUAUAAAUCAUUAUUGAUCAUGAUUAAUCACUAGUAAUUGUUUAUUUAAAUGAUAGAUUAAUCACAAUUAAUUGAUUUUUUUCAAUAACAAUCGAUCACUUCAAUAAUCGAUCAAUCGUUUCAGCCCUAUUUUCUGCCUUCAUCAGCCCCAAACCAAAAAGGUUUUCCAAUUUUAUUGUAAAAGAACUCAAGUUUUUUACAGGAAAAGGAAAAAUGUCAGAAAAUUCAGUUUGUUGUGCUCAGUCAGUAAUGAAACGGUGACGGCCUAUUUAAAGUAAGAGCGCGUUUGUGGCUCUCCAGCACUUGCAGCCCGCUGCGAUAAUGGUCCACUCAGCUGGAGAGGAGCCACAGGAGUCGCUGCAAACUGGUUUAUGUCUCCAUCACACCAACGUGAGCGAAGCUGCUUAAACGGGGGGAGUUUUCAUUUCUUCUGUAAAUGUUGUGUUUAAUAUUCCAACUAUUUAUUGAAAUCUGUCGCUCUGCAGGAAAUAUUUACUCAACCCUGAACAGAUUCUCCAGUUUCGCUCCACAUCCCUAAAUCUCCUCGUCUCUUACUGUCAGAAAAUAACCGUGAUUUGGCAGGAAGUCAUCAUGGCUGCAUCUCCAUCUGCUGGCGUGUGAUUUGUGACUCGUGUCUCGGCUGCCACGAGGAAUCGGUGUGGCAGGCUGUGGUGUGGAUGCAUCGCCUCCUCCGUGGCUCUCGGGGGCCUCCUGGGGCCCCGCGGACUGGCAGCUCAGUGAUCUGCUGCGCGGCGUGCAUCACCGUCCCUGUGGGGCUGGAACGGCAUGAUGGAGGAGUUUCUGUUCGGCUCUCGGUGGCAGCCUGUCAGAGGGAUCCCAGUCAUGCUCUGGGAGAGUUUCUGCAUUCUGCUGCCCAGAUCCCAAAACCAAACACUGGACGGGAAACUUUUUAAAUUAUAUAGAAUAUUUAUUUAUUAUAUUCUUGUUUAAGAUUUCUAAUGUUAAACAAUAAAUUAUAAAUGAAAGUGCAGUCUAUGGGUUUUGGGUAACAAAUUAAUAUUACGUAUUUUAAAGACAAAAAGCUAGUACUUGGUUCAAACAAGCAUACAGAAAAGGAUGGGGGCCACUGGAAAAAGAAACAGAAAAAGAAUCCAGACUUUUUCUUCCCAAGAAGAUUAAAAUCAAAAUUCUGAGAAAAAAGUAAAAAUUCUGAGAAAAAGGU